UACAGAGGUCUCAAGCGUUGUUCGGAUUCAUUGGGCGUAAAGGGCGCGUAAGCUGCGGGGCAAGUCGGGUGUGAAAUCUCAGAGCUCAACUCUGAAACUGCACUCGAUACUGGCUUUGCUUGAGGACUGGAGAGGAGAUUGGAAUUCACGGUGUAGCAGUGAAAUGCGUAGAUAUCGUGAGGAAGACCAGUGGCGAAGGCGGAUCUCUGGACAGUUCCUGACGCUGAGGCGACGAAGGCCCAGGGGAGCAAACGGG
rnacentral:rRNA from 1 species